CCUUAACUCAGGGGUAGAGUACCCGCCUUGUAAGCGGGUUGUCGUAGGUUCAAAUCCUACAGGA
rnacentral:tRNA from 1 species